CCUACGGGUGGCAGCAGUGGGGAAUAUUGCACAAUGGGGGAAACCCUGAUGCAGCGACGCCGCGUGAGUGAAGAAGUAUUUCGGUAUGUAAAGCUCUAUCAGCAGGGAAGAAAAUGACGGUACCUGAUUAAGAAGCCCCGGCUAACUACGUGCCAGCAGCCGCGGUAAUACGUCGGGGGCAAGCGUUAUCCGGAUUUACUGGGUGUAAAGGGUUCGUAGGCGGACUGUUAAGUCAGCGGUAAAAGCCCGGGGCUCAACCCCGGCGAGCCGUUGAAACUGGCUGUCUUGAGAUGUCGAGAGGCAUGCGGAAUGCGCAGUGUAGCGGUGAAAUGCUUAGAUAUUGCGCAGAACUCCGAUUGCGAAGGCAGCAUACCGGCGGCGAUCUGACGCUGAGGCACGAAAGCGUGGGUAUCGAACAGGAUUAGAUACCCGAGUAGUC
rnacentral:rRNA from 1 species